rnacentral:lncRNA from 1 species
AGAAAGUAGAAGGAGCUCCAAAGGCAGUGAGCGUCUUUCCUUGGGCUGCGUGUGCCGAGCGUAGACAAUGAAAAUCUUCAUCCCCCUCCCCCAUUCUACUAGGCUACAAGAUUCUUGUUUUCGUUCCUUCUCACCGGUGGAAGAUGUGUAAAAUCAAAGAUGUAGAGGUGUGUAGUGAUUUUUUUAAAAGCCAACUAACCACCGCACGGACUGCGACGCGGAUUACCCGAGCGCACGCCGGCUGGGCGCAUUCUGGGGUCUCUGCGCAAGACCAGCUCUCAGCUCUCUCUCCUUUCCUCGGACUCUGGAGCGGGAGCGGGCCUUUCCCUCGGGUCGACCACGCCGUAGGGGACGCCGUGAAAAGAGCCGUCGCGCCCGCUGCCUCCUGCCCGCUGCGCAGAGGGCUCCGCCCGUAGAGGUCAACUUCCCUCACCCUUUUCUCUCUCCUGCUUGCCCUCCCUCCGCCCGGCCCAGGCGCUUCCAGCCCCAGACUGUGGCCACUGGCUGAGGAGUGCGAGUCGGCUGCGCUGCCCUGAGCCUAAUCCCUCUUCCGGGCCCAGACCCGAGGUCCGCGCUCCUGGGCAGUGGGGAAGCUUUAGUGAGCAGGCUUUUCUCUCCGCAGCAAACUUGUAGCCAGACCAGAUGGGCCGCCCAGCUCUCUCGGGACUAGGCAGGUGCGGAUGAGUUAAUUUUUCCGCAUUACAAAGAAAGAUGACCCAGCCCGCCCUUGGACUCUCUUUUCCCAAAAUCUCCCAACCAAACCCGCGGUAACGUUAUCAAAGGACACAGAGCCCAGGCAUAUCUGUGUGUUUAUCUUACAGGCACACACGCAUGGUUUUCUCUUUUAUAUGCUAGAUUUCAUCCCUGACAGCAGAAAAUGAUUGGCAAUGGUUAUGACGGAGAACAUGCAAUAGCGUGGUCCUUAAAAACCUGCCAUUCCUUACAAGUGCCUUAGAAAGGAUUCAGGGCGAACCAACUGGGUUAAUUGCAUUCAGUAAAAUAACACGAUUACAAAA